CCCAUAGUGGGGUUUACGGCAUGAGGUCCGUCUUCUCAGGAAGGUUUCAGUAUGGAACCAGUUCCCACCGGUUAACGCCCCAGAUUAUUAGUUCUAGGGAUGCUCUAGUCUUCAGCGCCCCAUGUAGGUAUUCGGAUUUGCCUCGGAUCUCUAGUCCAGCAGCAGCCCGGUUAUACGGGCCUCCAUGUAUUGCUUUAUGCUAAACUUCUAGCCGUUUGUACAUUCGUGGUAAUCAUCGUUACGAGUUGAUUUGGAGGACGCCAGACUUGGACCGGAGAGGUGUGGGUACUUCAGGUAGGGUAAAUCCUGUCAUCCUGAGAGACACCUGUUGCGAAGCUCACACUAGACGAUCCGACGGUCAGGGACGAAGCCUAGGGCACGAACCGGAUUAGAUACCCGGGUAGUCCUAGGUGUAAACGCUGUGGACUUGAUGUUGGGGACGCUCCGAGCGUUCUCAGUGUCGAAGCGAAGGUGAUAAGUCCACUGCCUGGGGAGUACGGUCGCAAGGCUGAAACUUAAAGGAAUUGGCGGGGGAGCACCGCAACCUGAGGAUUGUGCGGUUUAAUUGGAUUCAACGCCGGAAAACUCACCAUGACCGACGGACAUAUGAAAGCCAGUGUAACGAGCUUGCUGGAUUGUUCGAGAGGUAUUGCAUGGCCGCCGUCAGUUCGUACCGCAAGGCGUUCUGUUAAGUCAGAUAACGAACGAGACCCUCAUCCCUAUUUGCCAAGGUCUGUCCGCAGAUCACGGGACUAUAGGGAGACCGCUGGCGUGAAGUCAGAGGAAGGCGAGGGCAACGGUAGGUCAGUAUGAUCCGAAUGUCAUGGGCUACACGCGCAAUACAAAGGACGGGACAAUGGGCUGCUACUCCGAGAGGAAGAAGCUAUCCCGAAACCCGUUCGUAGUUCGGAUUGGGGGCUGUAACCCGCCCCCAUGAAGCUGGAUUAGGUAGUAAUCGCGUCUCAAAAAGGCGCGGUGAAUAUGCCCCUGCUCCUUGCACACACCGCCCGUCAAACCAUCUUAGUUGUGGGUGGGUGAGGCUACCUUGAUAAUGGGGUAUUCGAGCCUGCCUUCGACAAGGAGGGUUAAGUCGUAACAAGGUAA
rnacentral:rRNA from 1 species